GAACUAUUGAUCUAGUAUCCUAAGGCUUGGACUAAUGGACUGAGAAUGUGAGUUCAAAUCCCUCCAUGGUAGUUGUGAAAUUUAAACAUGUUAACUGAAUAAUCCAGGAAAGAUAGCUGGUAUCGUGACAUUUAAAAUCAAGUCCAAAAUUUUUGCCCUGAGUGACCUGACAAAUGUGUUCAGAAUGUUCCAGAAGCAGGGCUUCAGGGCACCUUGCCUAAGGCCAAGAUGGCAGUUGGAUACCCCAUACUCUUCCUCAUCUGAAUCUCCUGCUCUCAUGGAGCGUGGUAACAGGCCCUUCCGGCCCAACAAGUCUGCACCACCCAGUUUAAACCCCAGUUAACCUACCCGUACGUCUUUGCAAUGUGGGAGGAAACCGGAGCACCUGGAGGAAACCCAUGCAGACACGGGAGAACGUACAAACUCCUUACAGACAGCGAUGGGAAUCAAACCCCGAUCGUUGGCGCUGUAAUAGCGUUGCGCUAACCGCUACGCUACCGUGCCUAUCUAGAUAUUUAUCACACCACUUCCUGUGGGAUCUUGCUGAACAUGCCUGCAGUGCUUCCUCCAUUGUAACAGUGACUACACUUCAAAAGUACUUUAUUGAUCAUUAAGUGUAUUGGAGUAACAUGAAGCCACGAGAGAUGCUAUAUAAAUGCAAGUUUUGUUCUUCCUGAUUCUUGAAUGGGUGUCAAGAAGACUAGAAUACUCUUGCAUAGUGUCACUCUCACUCUCCAGUAGCCCAUUGACACUCCAAAAAUAAGACUCUAGUGAGAUGUACGACUUCCCAGAUGAGAUGAGAUCAUACUUGGCAUUUAUGCUUUGAAUUGAGUGUCAAGCAGAAAUUCCCAACUCUUCCCCCACCCCCCUCCCACCCCGACCCUGACUCCUUUGUAACCACAAUAUACAAGGAAAGUCGUUACCUGGUGUGAAGUCAAGCGA